AUAUAAUUAGGAAACUAUUAAGAAUCCACCUACCACAAAGUUUUUAAAAAAAAAACUAAAGGAAAAGCAUUACAUCUCCACCAUUUUGAUGCUUAAUCUCCAUAAACUCAUGGUUUAGAUCACGAAUUGAGUUGGAACAAGAUGUCGCACCAAAUUUUUGAUUCCAAGAAGUACAAAAUCAACAAUGGUUGAUUGAGUUUAUAUUUCAUCUUGGGCAUUUAACUCAUCUCAUAAAUGCCAUAAAAUCUCACUAAGUGAAGACUUUUUCAACUCCUUGAUUCUUAGAUUUGUGUUCUUAGUGACAAGAGAAGUUCUUCACCUUUUCCAUUAUAGUUCAAAAUAAUUGAUGGAUAAUGUUAAUUUCACCUUAGAUCUACCCUCUUGACAGGUUGAGCUCAAUGAGGAGCUGAUAUAACUUCCUAAGAGAAAUAAAAUUAAAGUCUCAUUAACAAAUCCAUCAGAUUACCCUUACCCAAGGCUGAAUAUUACUAUCCACCAUGUCAGGAAUUGGACAUACUUUUACUUCUUUUGCACAAUGAUUCAAAGUCAUGGUUAGUUCCUAAGUUGAUAUUGAAGUGAUGAGCUUCCAUACAUCAAAAAUCUACAUUUCAUGUUUUAGUCUCUUAUGUCUCAGAUUGUUUAAACUUGUUUUUGCUAUAGUCGGGGGCAUAUCUUUAUUGUUUAUUGGUAUUCAAUUUUGGUCCUUUGUUUAGAAGGCUUUUUUGGAUUACAGUGGGCUUAGGUGUUGUUGUUAGGUUAUUUGUCUGGUUUUUAGUUGACAUAUUAUAGACAUGGUUUAAAUAUCUUUAAGCUUAUCCUCAUGUUAUCUUGUUAUAUGUUUGGAAUUCAUCAGACAUUGGGGAUGUUGUGUUUGUUGGUUAGGUGCAUGGGGGUGAUCUAUAAUAUCUAAUAGACUUGGGGUACCCAGCAUGGCAAGGCUCUUGUUCGAGUUGUGAUAGACGAUAUCAGAGCUAGGUUUGGUGUCCUUGGGUGUCCAACAAAUCCAUGUAAAGUAGCAUGUUUUUAUGGGUGUGUAGCCUGCCACACUUAUAAGGAGAGGCUAGAAGGAAUUUAGGAAUGUUUCCCUUUCUUAUGAUCUAUUUUGUGGGCUAAGAGUCUAAGGUUAUGAAAUCUCCACUAAUUCCCAUAUGUUCAUUUUUUUUACAAUGCCUCCCAGAAAUUUGAUGCUUAUAGAAACUCUUCUAUCUCAUCUAAGGACAAUGUGGAUGGAACUUAUCCUACCCCUGGGGUACAGACCCAUUCUAGGGUUGCUGUUCUAAUUUCCCUUGUGGAUUUCCACCAGUUCUCCCUAGUCCUUCCCGAAUACCUCAAGGUUAUAUGUCCAAUGCCAAGUUUUGUAAUUUUAUUCAUUUGUUGACCCAGAUAGUAGUCUUUCUGUCACACCAGUCUAGUUUUGUUGGUGGGAAAAAGAAUUGAUUUCAGAUGGGGGAGAGUCAGAACAAAAUGUAUAAGUAUUCAAAGUAGGGUAGAGGUCAUCACAAUAGCAGUAGACAUGGAAAAUGGUAGAUUAACGAAGAGAGCUGGGGAAAUUCUAGUUCAUACUUAUCAGCUAAAGCCCCUUACACUAAGCCAUCCAGUGAUAAUCAUUUUCGAAAGGGUAUAAAUCCUAGGGCACAAGGUUCCCAGUAUCAGUCUAGUGGAACCUAGUUAGUCCCUCUCUAUCCUCCUUGUCGAUUUUGUGGUCAGUGGUAUUAUGCAUUUUGUCAUAAAGGAAAGAAUCAAUAUUUUAAGUUGGGUCAACCCAGUCAUAUACAACGACAUUGCCCUUCAUUCAAUGUUGCUACUGAAUCAAAUAAUAUUUUGGUUGCUAGCUCUUUUUGUUGCACCAAGGGGUGCUACUUUUGAUACCGAUACUAGAUGGAAUUGUCUUUAUAUUCUUGAUACCCACUAGAAGUUUGAGGUAUAACCAAAUGUCUUUGUUUCUAUGUUACAACUCUUUCCCCAUGAUGUAUAUUGCUUUUUUAAUCUGGGGUCUACUCUCUCUUAGGUGACCCCUUAUAUUUCUUUUAAUUUUGGUUUGCAUCCCGAGUGUAUUCUAAAUUUUUUUCUGUGUCCUCCUUGAUAGGUGACUCUAUUAUGGCUAUAAGGGUCUAUAGGGGUUGUGUGAUAUCAGUCCAUUGUGGGGAGACCUUGGUAGAUCUAAUAGAGUUAGACAUGGUAGACUUUGAUAUGAUUUUGGGGAAAGAUUAGUUGAAUUCAUUAUUAGACCUGUAGGGCUAGUUUUUAUUUCCUAAAUAAGCCGGUGAUUGAAUGGGAAGGUUGUUAUUUAGUUCCUAAUAGAAGGUUCAUUUCAUAUCUUGGAGCCUAAAAAUUGAUCUCCAAAACGGUGCCUCUACCAUCUAGUGAAUGCUAAGGAUUCUAGAUCUGAAGUCUUUCUUUCCAGUCUGUCCCUAUGGCCUAUGAAUUUUCUGAGGUGUUCCCUGAUGAUCUUCCUGGUGUUUCUCUCGAUAGGAGAAUACAUUUUUGGGAUUGAUCUCAUUCCAAACACUUAUACUAUCUCUAUCCCUUCUUAUGGAAUGGCUUUGACUGAGUUGAAAUAACUUAAGAAGCAGUUGAAAGAUUUUCUUGAUAAGGGUUUGUCAACCCUAGCAUUUCUCCGUGGGGUGCUUCUAUUCUUUUAUGUAGGGAGGAUGGUUUUCUCUAAAUAUGCAUAGGUUAUCAGCAGGUGAAUAAGGAAUUUAGGGUGACCUUCUUAUGGGGAGGACCAUAUAUAUAUAUCUAUAUAUUAUGCGGGGUACUCUAUUCUGGUGCAUGAUGGUUGUAGACACUAAGUUUGAACCUUAGAUAUUGAUUUUGCUGAAAGGAGUAUGUUAGCUCGAGGAUACCGAUGCGAGAUUUAUGGGAGUAAAUUGGUAGGCUUGAUAGGGUGUGCAAAAGAGAUGAGGUUGAUGACCUAGGAAUAUGGGAGUGGGAAAGUUAUGAUAUAUAGGCUGGAGGUCCAGGUUGCAACUGAUAGAUUAGGGGGGCUAAGUCAUUGGAUGUAUUAGGGCAUGGAGUUUGUGAGAAUAUGAUGAACCCUAGGUAGCAUUGGGAUAGAUGAGGUUUUAAGUAUAAGAGAGCCAAGUUUCCCUAGCUCAUGUCUAUGGUGAUACCCAUCGGGUGGAGUAUUGUGCUUAUAGGUAUAGUAAGAUAGAGAUCGAGGGCUAAUCUUAAUUUUUCUCCUCGUAGUGGGCUUUAGGGGAGAGUCAGGGUAAAUUUGCUCCUAUUCUAGUGAUUCCCUUGAAUUUUGGUUAAGAGGGCACUCUACCAGUGUUGUAUGCAUUAUAAUAGUGCUUAUUCCUAAGUCCUUCAUUCUACAUGCCGAGUAUGUUCAUACUCCAGCGCCUAAAUCAAAAGCAAUAAUGGUUCUCAAAAAUCCGAGCUUCCAAGUGUUCAAGUCUAUGUCAUGAUGCUCAUGAUCCAUAUAUUUAUGUCUCACAUUAUGCCUAGUUCCAAGAAACAACGGUUUUAAGUGGAAAUCCUUGCCUUGUUCCCUGAAUAUAAAUCUCUGCUUUAUGUUAUAUUACCCAUGAUAUAUGUAGUUGUGUUUCUCCUAGUGUCCAGUCCUAAGAACUCAUGUUGUGGUAUGUUUAUAUUAAAAAAAACCCUCCAUUUAUAACCUAGGUGGUUGCUAUGAAUUACUUAUUCCUAUUUUACCAUGUCUCAUUUUGCGGGUCUCACCUUGAGUUGUACGACAAGUAAGAGUCGUAAUUGAGAAGUAACCCCCUCAUUCUUGAUGCUAGUACUCUAGAUCCUCAGUGAUCCUUCUUAUGUUAGGGUAGCAGUGGCUAUAAUAGUGUAGUAAUUUUUUGGAUGAGGGAGUAGAUGUUAUUUAUUAUAAAAAUUUUUGGGAGAUGUUCUUUAUUGUAAAAAUUUUAGGGUGAUUACUUAGGCUAAAAUUAUAGAUAAAGAUGGACGAGUAAGAUGAAAUAGUUAAGAUGAAGAAAUGUUGUAAAAUCCAUCGUGAUAGUGAUUAAAGUUUCUAGUUUUGAGUGGGAGAUCUACAAAGAGGGGGUAUAAAGACAACUUAAAUAUUGUGAUUGAUAGAUACACAAACCAUUGUGUUAUGUGGUUAGUACUUCUUGAUUAAGACCGAAGGUUACCUGAUUGUUGUGAUAAGAUCCAGUAGUACUAUUGGAGUGGUGUAAAGUAUCGGGACCUAUGACUUACACUAGCACCUUUAACUCCGAGUUAGGAUUUAACAUAGGAGGGAGAUAGAGAAAAUGCUCAGGUCAUGUAGUUAUGUGUUUUACAAGGGAGUUAGGAGGUUGAAAUAGCGGAGUAUUUAAUUCAUAGUUGAAAUCUUAGUGGAGAGUGUGGUCAUAUUAAGGGUUAUUAGAUAUUAUUUGGGAGAGAAGAGCUACGUGGGAAGCUAAAGAGAACAUAAAAUCGAAAUAUCCAUUCUUGUUCACCGCUCCUGAUAAUCGUGUUUGAGGUAUGUGUAUUUUUUAACAUUUUGUUUUCUGUCGUUGUUAAGGAAAAUUGUAAAUUCCUUGGUAUCUUGGUUUUCUAUCUUUCUUAAAGGCAAGUAUGGUUGCGUUUGGAGUCUAAUCGUGCUAAUAAAUGCCUUAUCUUAUCAUUCGAGGACGAAUGCUCCUAAGAGGGAGUAUGUAAUGCCUUGGGUUUUUGGUCCUUGGAAAUUUUCUGAGUUCUGAGCUUUCUGCCUUAGCAAUGACUCACCGACGAGUCAUAAUGUGUCUUUACGGGUCAUAGGACCCAAUCGUAAUGAGCUUAGAAGGAUUUGCCUAAGUCACUACCUUGAUAACGACUAGACUUAACGAGUCGUAUAGACUCCUAACGAGUCAUAAGAAGGGUAUUUCGUAAGUUGCUCAGUGUAGUGCCUCUAGUGAAACUGUUGAGACUGUUACUUUACCCUAUGAGUCAUAGUGUCUCAUUAUGAGAUAUAGGGUGCCAGUCAUAGGGUUUAUAGUAAAGAGCCCAAGGGGGUUCUAGUUUGGCUACAAUUGGAUGGUCCAAGUUGUAGGGUGAGCCUACGUGUCGUAAGGUCACUCAUAGCGAUGGGCGGUGUUUUCAGUCUUUUUACUAAAGGUAUUUAGGGCAUUUACCUCUUUCCCUAAACAUAACCCACAUAACUUAUAAGACUUAUUGUGACUUUAUUUUCAUUGAUAAAUUACUAAAGCAAAACUUUCCUCUCUAAAAAAACUCUCUCAAGCAACAAUACUUAGGGUUCCCAAGAAACGGGUCAACCAGAGCUUCCAAAGGAAAAUUCUCUCCAUAAUCUUAGGUAUUUUUGGCAUGUUACUCUUUCCUCAUUGUUAAUUUGUUAAAAACAUGUGUUUUAAAGUUUGUUCAUGAUAUGUCUAUGAUGGUUUAGAAACAAAGGUUGGGAAUUUUGCAUGUUAAUGAAUUAAACAACGUUUCUCAUGGUUUAUAUAUGAUUUUUAUGCUUUAAUUAUUGUUUUGAACAUAUGGGUGCAUUGGUAUGGUGAAUGAACUAAGAAAUUGUGAUUUUCCCAAACUUGUGACUUUUGAAGUGGUUAUGACCCCAACCCCAUAUUGUGAAAUUGGUUUUUAGUUAUGAGAAAUUUGAAAAUUGAACUAUUCUUGAACUAUUUCAUUGUGAUAUUGAAUUGAACAUUAUGGAUUUGUGUUCUCACAAGUUAUUGCAUAAUCAAACUAAGGGGGUUGUGAAUUCCCCCAAGUGAUGUAAUUGUUUGGGCAUGUUGUUUUUACUUUGCAAGUGUAGUUGGCAUGAUGAUAUCGACAGUGUAUACCUUAAUGUGUAAUAUGGUUCAAUGAAUGGGAAUGUGUGAUAAAUGUUUUAAUUGGGCUUUAAAAAAGGGUUGUGUAGCUGAGCCUUAAAAGUUGAGGUCCGAGUAAACGACACUGGGAACUGCACUAGCUGAUUCGGGGAUUGUUAUGGAUUGAGUGUUCAAGUCCCUUUGCUUGUGACCAGGUAGUUUGAGUCUACCUUAUUGUUAUUAUUAUGAUUGGAGGGUUUGAUUUCCCCAUAUUACAUUUUAUGAUCACGUUCUUAAGUCACCUUAGUAUAUGAUUGGAGGGUUCGAGUCCCCCGUGCAUAUAUAUGAUCUUUCUCCAGUUCGUGAUGCUAUAUGCACUAGGGCCCAAAAAGGGUGAGAGAUGGGGCCUAUAUAGAUCGUGGGUACUAUUAUAUGACGAUUGAGCUACACAAUCCAGGCUAAAGUUUUAAAGUACACGUUAAGCAUUGUUCCUUAUCCCGACAUGCGAUAUAUAUAUGUAUAUGCAUUUAAUUAUGUGCUUUAGAUUUUGAAUGAGUUUGAAUUUGUUGAUCAUGGAAUUAUGUUAUCUUUAUCCCUGAGUUACAUGAUAGAGUUCACCCCGCUAACUGUCUUCGGACGUUUUAUCCCCAUGCAAUGCAAGAAUUGGCCAUACUUUUACUCUUCUUCACAGUGAUUUGGAGCUGAGGUCAGUUCGUGAGUUGACAUUGAAGUGGUGAGCUUCCAUACAAUGGAAGUCUACAUUUCAUAUUUUAGUUCUUAUGUCUCAAAUUGUUUAGAAUUGUUUUGGCUAUUGUCGGGGGCAUGUCCCGACACUCUAUUCGUAUUCAAUUUUGGUCCUCUAUUUAGAAGGCUUUAUUGGAUUACUAUGGGCUUUGGUAUUAUUGGUACGUUAUUUGGCUGGUUUUUUGUUAAUGGAUUAUAAACAUGGUUUAAAUAUCUUUAAGCUUAUACUUAUGUUAUUUUUUUUAUAUGUUCGAAAUUCAUCUGACAUUGGGGAGUUUGUGUUAGUUGGUUGGGUGCGAGGGGGUGAUCUUUGGUCUCCGGCAUACUUGAGAUACCCGUCACCGCCAGGACCUAGUUCGGGACAUGACACUAUCUUCUCUAAGAGCUUUAAUAUAUCACAAUUUACACCAACCUCUUCUCAAACCAAAUAUUUUCCACCAUUUUAAUCUUCCUACCUCUCUUUUGUUUUGCCAUAUCUCUUUACGCUAGCUUACGUAUCUUUAGUUUGGAGUAUUUUCUAUCAACACAUCAAAUGUAUUUUAUUCCACUGCUCCCUUCCAAUAACACAUAAACUUUUUAAUACACCAAAAGCCAUUUCGUUAGGGCAUUCCUUUCACUUCUUCUUUCUUCAGUUAUACACUCUUUAACAUAUUAAUCUUUCCACUAAAGUUCUUAAGAGUUUUGGAUCAAAUUAUGGUUAGUUGAAAAAGGGAAUAAGCUGCAUAUAAGGCUACCAAAGAAUAGUCAAAAGGCUAACUGAGAUCAUGCAAAAAAGGGUAGAUAAAGCAGGUAUUAAACAUGGCUAUCAAAGAAUGCAUAUAUCA